ACGAACGCUGGCGGCGUGCUUCACCCCUGCAAGUCGAACGGAAAGGCCCUGCUUUUGUGGGGUGCUCGAGUGGCGAACGGGUGAGUAACACGUGAGUAACCUGCCCUUGACUUUGGGAUAACUUCAGGAAACUGGGGCUAAUACCGGAUAGGAGCUCCUGCUGCAUGGUGGGGGUUGGAAGGUUUCGGCGGUUGGGGAUGGACUCGCGGCUUAUCAGCUUGUUGGUGGGGUAGUGGCUUACCAAGGCUUUGACGGGUAGCCGGCCUGAGAGGGUGACCGGCCACAUUGGGACUGAGAUACGGCCCAGACUCCUACGGGAGGCAGCAGUGGGGAAUAUUGCACAAUGGGCGGAAGCCUGAUGCAGCAACGCCGCGUGCGGGAUGACGGCCUUCGGGUUGUAAACCGCUUUCGCCUGUGACGAAGCGUGAGUGACGGUAAUGGGUAAAGAAGCACCGGCUAACUACGUG
rnacentral:rRNA from 1 species